CUAGGGUACGCUGCCUUCUCCUUUCUGUGUUUUCGCGUUACUUUAAGGCAAACCCAACAGAAAAGUGUUCGCCGCUCUGUUUUAAUUUUUAGUUUAGGAUAUGGCAGAAGAGGUAGAGUACCGUUGUUUUAUUGGUGGUCUUUCAUGGUCUACAUCUGAUAGAGGCCUGAAAGAGGCAUUUGAAAAGUUUGGUCAUCUUCUUGAGGCCAAGGUAGUUGUUGACAAGUUCUCUGGACGAUCUCGUGGAUUUGGAUUUGUCACUUUUGAUGAGAAGAAAGCAAUGGAAGAUGCUAUUGAAGCAAUGAAUGGAAUGGACUUAGAUGGGCGAACUAUUACUGUUGAUAAAGCCCAGCCUCACCAAGGUUCAGGCAGAGAUCAGGAUGGUGAUCGCAACCGUGAGCGUGGGAGGGAUCGUGAUCAGAACCGUGACCUUGGAGGCAGACGCACAGGUGGUGGUGGGGAGUGCUUUAAGUGUGGUAAGCCUGGACAUUUUGCUAGGGAGUGUCCAAGUGAAGGGGCAAGAGGAGGUCGGUAUGGGGGCAGAGAUGAGAGGUAUAGUGGCGGCGG
rnacentral:misc_RNA from 1 species